rnacentral:rRNA from 1 species
CGCAUCUGUGCAUGCAGCAUAUCAAUAAGCGGAGGAAAAGAAACUAACAAGGAUUCCCUUAGUAACGGCGAGUGAAGCGGGAAGAGCUCAAGUUUGAAAUCUUAAAGGGUUUCCCUUUACGAAUUGUAGUUUAAAGAAGUGUUUUCUGUUGAAGUUUUGGUGAAAGUUCUUUGGAAUAGGACAUCAUAGAGGGUGAGAAUCCCGUAUUUGACCAUUACUUUCAGCUGUGUGAUACACUUUCAAAGAGUCGGAUUGUUAGGGAAUGCAGUCCAAAAUGGGUGGUAAAUUUCAUCUAAAGCUAAAUAUUGGCGAGAGACCGAUAGCGAACAAGUACCGUGAGGGAAAGAUGAAAAGAACUUUGAAAAGAGAGUUAAACAGUACGUGAAAUUGUCCAAAAGGGAAGCGUUUGACACCAGUGUUGUUUUUCUGAAAAUCAAUUAAAGAACUGUUUAUGCUAAGUUGUUUAGACUUUAUCAGCUAUCUGUUUAGUUUUGAGCUUUUCUUUAAUGCACUUUUCAGUUAACAAGUCAACAUCAAUUUCUUUUGCUGUAAAAAAGCUUGAGGAAGGUGGCUUGAGAUUCGUCUUAAGUGUUUAUAGCCUCUUGCCUAUGCAGUCGGAGAGAUUGAGGUCUGCAGCGUAGAUCCUUCGGGGCUAAAUGCAUUUGUGCUAAGUUAUAGCAUUUUAUAGACAACUUGUUGACUAUGAUUUGUCUUGUAGCUUACUCGCUUAUGUUAUUUUACCUACGCUUAGGAUGUUGAUAGUCACAGCGUGUAC